GGUCCUUAAGUCAAGAAAAGACCUAAAAGAAACUGUAAUGCAUGUUGCUAAGUGAAAGAAGACGAUCUGACAAGGCUACAUCCUAGAAAACGCCAACAAUUUGGCAUCCUGGAAAAGGCAGAACUAUGGAGACAGUGAAAAGAUCUGUGAUUCACAAGGCUGAGGGGUAAGAGAAGGGAGGGAUAAAGAGGCAGACCCCACGGGAUUUUCAGGGCAGUGAAACUAUUCUGUCUGAUACUGUAAUGCUGGACAUGUUCUUACAGAUUUGUCAAAACACAGAGAAUAUAUAAAUAGAGACAGCCUUAAUGGAAAGUAUGGAUUUUUUUGGCAACAAAUGCACCACGCUGAUGCAAGAUGUUUUUAAGUGGACAUACCCGGACUUCUAAAACUCCGACCUCCUCCUAUGACCGGCUCCCUGGAGAUAUCACCCCAUUGUUGAAAGGACCCUAUGGAGAGAUCCACAUGUCAAACAACUGAUAUCUACAGCCAAAAGGCAUUGAAGAUCGGAAGCCAGCUAGAAGCCAUGUGAAUGAGGUUGGAAACAGAACGUCCUCCAGUUGAACCUUGACAUGCCCUGUCUCCCUGUCCAACAUCUUGGGAAACUCUCAAGCAGAGCAUCUCACUGAGGGACACUCAGGUUCUUGAUCUAGAAAGACUGCAAUAUAAUAAAUGUUUGUUGUUUUAAGAGGCUAAAUUUUGGAGGUGAUUUGUUAAACAACAAUGAAACCAAAAGACCCAUCAAAGAGGAGUCAAGAAACAGAAAAUGUGAAGUGGGUUAGGAGAGGAUUAAAUGUAGGUUAUGGAUUGCCAAAGUUUCCAAAUUCGAAUAGUAUUAUUAUUAAUACUUAAAAUACUUUUCUCAUAAAUGAGACAUUAAGUGUUAAAGAAAUCACUUGGGUAUGUCCACUGUAUCUCAAUGAAAUAACUAGUUGGAAUAAAAUAAAAGAAUUCACUCAGGGGUCUGGAGGUGAAGACCAUUUGAAUACCAUCAGAAACUGGUGGGGGGUGGUUGAAAAGUUUGGAAAAUGAGUUGAUUUUAAGAGCUCUCCAUAGGUAUUUAGAGACAAACAAUGGAUUUUUUUCCCUAUCAGUUGUUUCAAAAUGGUAUCAUAUUUAUUUAUAUGUUUUUU